AGAGUUUGAUCCUGGCUCAGGACGAACGCUGGCGGCGUGCUUAACACAUGCAAGUCGAACGGUGACCCCUCUUCGGAGGGUGAUCAGUGGCGAACGGGUGAGUAACACGUGAGCAACCUGCCCCUGGCUCUGGGACAACCACUGGAAACGGUGGCUAAUACCGGAUACGACCCGCCAUCGCAUGGUGUGUGGGUGGAAAGUUUUUCGGCUGGGGAUGGGCUCGCGGCCUAUCAGCUGGUUGGUGGGGUGAUGGCCUACCAAGGCGACGACGGGUAGCCGGCCUGAGAGGGCGACCGGCCACACUGGGACUGAGACACGGCCCAGACUCCUACGGGAGGCAGCAGUGGGGAAUAUUGCACAAUGGGCGAAAGCCUGAUGCAGCGACGCCGCGUGAGGGAUGACGGCCUUCGGGUUGUAAACCUCUUUCAGCUCCGAAGAAGCGAAAGUGACGGUAGGAGCAGAAGAAGCACCGGCUAACUACGUG
rnacentral:rRNA from 1 species